rnacentral:lncRNA from 1 species
GGACACAGGGGACAGGGACCCCCAGCACCGUGGGUGACAAGGACACGGGGGACAGGGACCCCCCAGCACCAUGGGUGACAAGGACCUGGGGGACAGGGACAGCCGGUUGUUCAGGGCGCGUGGAGUCUCCCCAAUAAACAAGCCAAUAAAACGCUUUCUUGGUUUCAUUUCUGGUUGCAACAGAGGCACGCGUUCCCUGAAGCAGGGAAAGGCGUGGGUGUGUGGGCGGGGCCGGCCGCCCCCAGGGGCUAAGUGCCUGUGCCCGGGCCGCACCUGCUGCGUGACCUCAGGAGGGUCGCUCAGCCUCCCCGGGCCGCCUCACCUGCUCCCUGGGCAUCCACGGCACCCCAAGCUCAUGCGGGGAGACCCCGGGUUUCCUCCAGGGAGCGCCGGCAUUUUCUGUCCCCUGGUCCGCACCCCAGGACGCCCAGCCCUCCUGUCCAGACCUUCCCACCUCCACCCAGAAGGCACAGCUGGGUCCCCCCCCCCACCCCGUCCUCACAUCUCAGCCCCUCCUGACAGCUCCCCACUGCUCAGCCUCCCUGCCCGCCCUGGCUGGAUGGCCGCCGCCUCCCUGAUGGUCUCCAGGCUUCCAGCCUCACCUCUGACUGCAGCCAGUUCAGCUUGGUGCUGUGGGGGGCAGGGGCGGAGCUGGCACCAUGGGGAGGGAGGGGGCGGGGCUGGCUCCGUGGCGGGGCGGAGUUGGCGCCUUGGGGGGCGCUGGAGGUGGCUCAAGACCGUGCGAUGCUAA